rnacentral:rRNA from 1 species
GUGACUGCGUACCUUUUGUAUAAUGGGUCAGCGACUUAUAUUCUGUAGCAAGGUUAACCGUAUAGGGGAGCCGCAGGGAAACCGAGUCUUAACCGGGCGUUAAGUUGCAGGGUAUAGACCCGAAACCCGGUGAUCUAGCCAUGGGCAGGUUGAAGGUUGGGUAACACUAACUGGAGGACCGAACCGACUAAUGUUGAAAAAUUAGCGGAUGACCUGUGGCUGGGGGUGAAAGGCCAAUCAAACCGGGAGAUAGCUGGUUCUCCCCGAAAGCUAUUUAGGUAGCGCCUCGUGAACUCAUCUCCGGGGGUAGAGCACUGUUUCGGCUAGGGGGCCAUCCCGGCUUACCAACCCGAUGCAAACUGCGAAUACCGGAGAAUGUUAUCACGGGAGACACACGGCGGGUGCUAACGUCCGUCGUGAAGAGGGAAACAACCCAGACCGCCAGCUAAGGUCCCAAAGUCAUGGUUAAGUGGGAAACGAUGUGGGAAGGCCCAGACAGCCAGGAUGUUGGCUUAGAAGCAGCCAUCAUUUAAAGAAAGCGUAAUAGCUCACUGGUCGAGUCGGCCUGCGCGGAAGAUGUAACGGGGCUAAACCAUGCACCGAAGCUGCGGCAGCGACACUAUGUGUUGUUGGGUAGGGGAGCGUUCUGUAAGCCUGUGAAGGUGGCCUGUGAGGGUUGCUGGAGGUAUCAGAAGUGCGAAUGCUGACAUAAGUAACGAUAAAGCGGGUGAAAAGCCCGCUCGCCGGAAGACCAAGGGUUCCUGUCCAACGUUAAUCGGGGCAGGGUGAGUCGACCCCUAAGGCGAGGCCGAAAGGCGUAGUCGAUGGGAAACGGGUUAAUAUUCCCGUACUUGGUGUUACUGCGAAGGGGGGACGGAGAAGGCUAUGUUGGCCGGGCGACGGUUGUCCCGGUUUAAGCGUGUAGGUGUGUGUUCCAGGUAAAUCCGGUUCACUUUAACACUGAGGCGUGAUGACGAGGCACUACGGUGCUGAAGCAACAAAUGCCCUGCUUCCAGGAAAAGCCUCUAAGCAUCAGGUAACAUCAAAUCGUACCCCAAACCGACACAGGUGGUCAGGUAGAGAAUACCAAGGCGCUUGAGAGAACUCGGGUGAAGGAACUAGGCAAAAUGGUGCCGUAACUUCGGGAGAAGGCACGCUGACAUGUAGGUGAAGUGAUUUACUCAUGGAGCUGAAGUCAGUCGAAGAUACCAGCUGGCUGCAACUGUUUAUUAAAAACACAGCACUGUGCAAACACGAAAGUGGACGUAUACGGUGUGACGCCUGCCCGGUGCCGGAAGGUUAAUUGAUGGGGUCAGCGCAAGCGAAGCUCCUGAUCGAAGCCCCGGUAAACGGCGGCCGUAACUAUAACGGUCCUAAGGUAGCGAAAUUCCUUGUCGGGUAAGUUCCGACCUGCACGAAUGGCGUAAUGAUGGCCAGGCUGUCUCCACCCGAGACUCAGUGAAAUUGAACUCGCUGUGAAGAUGCAGUGUACCCGCGGCAAGACGGAAAGACCCCGUGAACCUUUACUAUAGCUUGACACUGAACAUUGAGCCUUGAUGUGUAGGAUAGGUGGGAGGCUUUGAAGUGUGGACGCCAGUCUGCAUGGAGCCGACCUUGAAAUACCACCCUUUAAUGUUUGAUGUUCUAACGUGGACCCGUAAUCCGGGUUGCGGACAGUGUCUGGUGGGUAGUUUGACUGGGGCGGUCUCCUCCUAAAGAGUAACGGAGGAGCACGAAGGUUGGCUAAUCCUGGUCGGACAUCAGGAGGUUAGUGCAAUGGCAUAAGCCAGCUUGACUGCGAGCGUGACGGCGCGAGCAGGUGCGAAAGCAGGUCAUAGUGAUCCGGUGGUUCUGAAUGGAAGGGCCAUCGCUCAACGGAUAAAAGGUACUCCGGGGAUAACAGGCUGAUACCGCCCAAGAGUUCAUAUCGACGGCGGUGUUUGGCACCUCGAUGUCGGCUCAUCACAUCCUGGGGCUGAAGUAGGUCCCAAGGGUAUGGCUGUUCGCCAUUUAAAGUGGUACGCGAGCUGGGUUUAGAACGUCGUGAGACAGUUCGGUCCCUAUCUGCCGUGGGCGCUGGAGAACUGAGGGGGGCUGCUCCUAGUACGAGAGGACCGGAGUGGACGCAUCACUGGUGUUCGGGUUGUCAUGCCAAUGGCACUGCCCGGUAGCUAAAUGCGGAAGAGAUAAGUGCUGAAAGCAUCUAAGCACGAAACUUGCCCCGAGAUGAGUUCUCCCUGAGACUUUAGGUCUCCUGAAGGAACGUUGAAGACGACGACGUUGAUAGGCCGGGUGUGUAAGCGCAGCGAUGCGUUGAGCUAACCGGUACUAAUGAACCGUGAGGCUUAACCUUACAACGCCGAAG